GAUGAACGCUGGCGGCGUGCCUAAUACAUGCAAGUCGAGCGAACGGACGAGAAGCUUGCUUCUCUGAUGUUAGCGGCGGACGGGUGAGUAACACGUGGAUAACCUACCUAUAAGACUGGGAUAACUUCGGGAAACCGGAGCUAAUACCGGAUAAUAUUUUGAACCGCAUGGUUCAAAAGUGAAAGACGGUCUUGCUGUCACUUAUAGAUGGAUCCGCGCUGCAUUAGCUAGUUGGUAAGGUAACGGCUUACCAAGGCAACGAUGCAUAGCCGACCUGAGAGGGUGGUCGGCCACACUGGAACUGAGACACGGUCCAGACUCCUACGGGAGGCAGCAGUAGGGAAUCUUACGCGAUGGGCGAAAGCCUGACGGAGCAACGCCGCGUGAGGGAUGAAGGUCUUCGGAUCGGAAAACUCUGUUAUUAGGGAAGAACAUAUGUGUAAGUAACUGUGCACAUCUUGACGGUACCUAAUCAGAAAGCCACGGCUAACUACGUG
rnacentral:rRNA from 1 species